UAGCCCUAUUCUUUGGUAGAUCAGGCAUAUUCGAAAUGAGAUUUUCGUCAGUCUGUUUCCAUUCCUGUUCCCGUCAACAUCUAUAUUUUUUGUUAAAUUUUCGUUCUAUGUUCCUAUCGUAGUAUGCCCUGCCAGGUAUAAUCAAAAGAAAGAGUUACC
rnacentral:sRNA from 1 species